AAUAGGAGAAUGACAAAUCAUAUUUUUCUUUCUGAUCUUCAGCUUUUUCCUCUUCAAAAAUUUUAAAUUCAACAAAAAUUUUAAAAAUCAGGAAAAAAAAUCUGAUUUGUCAUUAUUCUAUU
rfam:Gossypium raimondii Chr08_contig_998, whole genome shotgun sequence.